AUUUAACGCUGGCGGCAUGCCUUACACAUGCAAGUCGAACGGCAGCGCGGGAGCAAUCCUGGCGGCGAGUGGCGAACGGGUGAGUAAUAUAUCGGAACGUGCCCAGUAGUGGGGGAUAGCCCGGCGAAAGCCGGAUUAACACCGCAUACGACCUACGGGUGAAAGGGGGGGAUAGCAAGACCUCUCGCUAAUGGAGCGGCCGAUAUCAGAUUAGGUAACUGGUGGGGUAAAGGCCUACCAAGCCUGCGAUCUGUCGUUGGUCUGAGAGGACGGGCAGCCAACCUGGAACUGAGACACGGCCCAGACUCCUACGGGAGCCAGCAGUGGGGAAUUUUGGACAUGGGGCGCAAGCCUGAUGCAGCAAUGCCGCGUGCAGGAAGCAGGCCUUCGGGUUGUAAACUGCUUUUGUCAGGGAAGAAAUCCUCUAGGCUAAUACCUUGGGGGGAUGACGGUACCUGAAGAAUAAGCACCGGCUAACUACGUGCCAGCAGCCGCAGGAAAAC
rnacentral:rRNA from 1 species